rnacentral:rRNA from 1 species
UACAGAGGGUGCAAGCGUUUAAUCGGAAUUACUGGGCGUAAAGGGCUCGUAGGCGGCCAACUAAGUCAGACGUGAAAUCCCCUCGGCUUAACCGGGGAACUGCGUCUGAUACUGGAUGGCUUGAGAUUGGGAGAGGGAUGCGGAAUUCCAGGUGUAGCGGUGAAAUGCGUAGAUAUCUGGAGGAACACCGGUGGCGAAGGCGGCAUCCUGGACCAACACUGACGCGUGAGGCGCGAAAGCUAGGGGAGCAAACGGG